rnacentral:rRNA from 1 species
ACACGACUACAUUAGAUACCCCCGUAGUCCCAGCCCUAAACGAUGCGCGUUAGGUGUAUCGGUGACCACGAGUCACCGAGGUGCCGAAGGGAAACCGUGAAACGUGCCGCCUGGGAAGUACGGUCGCAAGGCUGAAACUUAAAGGAAUUGGCGGGGGAGCACAACAACGGGUGGAGCUUGCGGUUUAAUUGGAUUCAACGCCGGAAAACUUACCGGGACCGACAGCAACAUGAAGGCCAAGCUGAAGACUUUGCCGGAUUAGCUG